CAGUGACAGUGUAAAUUAGUACAUUUGCUGGAACAUUGUCUGAUAAUCUGUAAUAAUAAUCAUAAAAUCGUCAUAUUCUUUUAUCUAAAAAUUCCAAUUCUGACAGUUUCUUAAAAACAAAACAAAACAGAGGCAGGAGAAUUGCCUGAAGCCAGGAGUUUGAGACCAGCCUGGGCAACAUAGCAAGACCUCUACUCUACAAAAAAUUUUAAAAUUAGCUGGGCAUAGUGGCACACACCUGUAGUCCUAGCUUACUUAGGCAGCUGAGGCAGGUCACUUGAGCCCAGAGUUCAAGGUUACAGUGAGCUAUGAUCAGGCCACUGCACUCCAGCAUGGGUGAGAGAGUGAGACCCUGUCUCUAAAAACAAACAAAACAAAUUUUUAAGCCAAAACAGACAAGGUGUAUUGGAAGUGUUUGUAGAGCAUUGUUACAAGGGGGUAAAAGAAAAAGCCCCAAACAAGCAGGGCUAAGGGCCACAGUAUAUCAAUUUAAUGCAAUAUUAAGAGUUAUUAAAAUGAUAAAUAUGGGAAAAGCAGACAUAAAAACUGUUGUCAUAACAAUUUACAGGCAUAUUAAAUAUAUUACAUUUAAUGUAGUGAGAUAAGCUGGAAGAUUUUUUAUCAUUGUUGUUAGAGUGUACUUGUUGAAACAUUUAAACAAAAGGAAGUUGAAGAGGCCAACAUUCUUUUCCACACUGCUUGUAAGUAUAUGCAUGUCCAUCCCAGCUAUACCAUGGUUACAGAACAACUGCUAACAAUGAUGGCUGAUCCUGAUUGCCCUCAAUCAGGCAGGAAGCUCAGGCAGUUACCUACAGAAAGGUGCUUGCAGAAAACACUGGUUAUUUGACAGCACAAGUGCAUGGGAGCCAAUGCUAUCCCCAGACCUUGGUGUGAAGAAGGAAGAUGCUCAAGUUAGUAGAUGUUGCUUCACAAAGGUCUCUUCUGUUCCAGCUCCAUGCAGGAGUUAUGAAUGUGGGUUUUUUUAAUCACUCAUGUGACUUAAAUGCAAACUUUGCCACAUUUUUUAUUAAAUGUGUACAUUUGGGCA
rnacentral:lncRNA from 1 species